rnacentral:rRNA from 1 species
UACGGGGGGAGCAAGCGUUGUUCGGAUUUACUGGGCGUAAAGGGCGCGUAGGCGGCCAGCGCAAGUCAGUCGUGAAAUCUCCGGGCUUAACUCGGAAAGGUCAACUGAUACUGCGCGGCUAGAGUGCGGAAGGGGCAACUGGAAUUCUCGGUGUAGCGGUGAAAUGCGUAGAUAUCGGGAGGAACACCUGAGGCGAAGGCGGGUUACUGGGCCGGCACUGACGCUGAUGCGCGAAAGCCAGGGGAGCGAACGGG